UAGGUAGUUUCAUGUUGUUGGGCCUGGGCUUCUGAAAACAACAACAUCAAACCACCCGAU
rnacentral:pre_miRNA from 1 species